rnacentral:lncRNA from 1 species
AUGCUGUCACCGGGACUCAGGACACAGGUUAGAGAGGACAAGGGGAAAGCCUCACAGGGACUCAGGACACAGGUUAGAGAGGACACGGGGACCCUGUCACAGGGACUCAGGACACAGGUUAGAGAGGACACGGGGACGCUGUCACCGGGACUCAGGACACAGGUUAGAGAGGACACGGGGACGCUGUCACAGGGACUCAGGACACAGAGGUUAGAGAGGACACGGGGACAGUGUCACAGGGACUCAGGACACAGGUUAGAGGAUUCGAGUACAGUGUCAAACAAGACUGACACGCACAGCCUGACACCUGGCAGAACCCACGCUAGGGACAUAGACACAGACAGGCAACCGACGCUGGAGGAGGGGCCAAGGCCGGGCAGCAGAAGGACAAGGUGCCCACCAGGCGGCCCAGAGCCACUGGGCUCCGUGUGCAGAACACACCCUGCCUCGGACCCGCCAUGUGCAAAUGAGCCAUCAGAGUGCAGCCCAGACCUGCAGGGAAGCGCUAACCGGAUCAACCUCUAGAAGAAAACCUGAGAAAUGAAGGGGCCGUGGAUUUGCCAGUACCUCCUGCCUAAGGUACAAACUCCGUUAAAAAAAAAUCUGAAAGCUCAAAGGGACCAAAAUUAGAAACGUUUGCAAAUCCGACGACUGUUAUGAGAAUGAAAAGAGCAAACAUACAGACGGACACAGCUGACAAAGGAUGUGUACCUAGAGAAUCACAAGCACAUGGAACUCAGGGCUACGAAAACAACAGAUGGGUUUUCUCUUUUUCUCUUUCUUCUUGGCUGCCCUGUGGCAUAUGGAGUUCUGGGCCCUGGCCUGGGAUCAGAUCUGAGUGGUAGCUGUGAUGCAGGCCACAGGUAUGACAACAUCAGGUGCCAGGCCGGAGACUGAACCUGCGUGCUGGCAUUGCAGAGACACUGCUGAGCCCACUGUGCCGCAGCAGCAACUCCAACACCUGAUUUUUAUAAUUUUUUUGUCUUUUUCUAUUUUGGGCCACACCUGUGGCAUAGUAAUGCUCCCAGGCUAGGUGUGGAAUCAGAGUUACAGCUACUGGCCUACUCCACAGCCACAGCAACACAUGAUCUGAGCCGCAUCUGGGACCUACAGCACAGCCAUGGCAACGCCAGAUCCUCAACCCACAGAGUGAGGCCAGGGAUUGAACUUGCACCCUCAUGGAUCCUAGUCAGGUUCAUUUCUGCCGAGCCACAAAGGGAACUGUCAAGAUCUCUGAAUUUUAAAAUGGCUGAAAUGCUGAUAGACUAUUAUGUGAAUUUUACCACAAUAAAAUGUUACCUACUUUAUGCUUCUAUUUGUGU